rnacentral:snRNA from 1 species
AGCUUUGCGCAGUGGCAGUAUCGUAGCCAAUGAGGUUUAUCCGAGGUGCGAUUAUUGCUAAUUGAAAAGGACUCUUGAGAAAUGUACCUACUGUAAAGGCAAUUAAGAAUAAACACAUG